UACGGAGGGUGCGAGCGUUGUCCGGAAUCAUUGGGCGUAAAGGGCGCGUAGGUGGCCCGGUCAGUUCGUGGUGAAAGCGCGGGGCUCAACCCUGCGUCGGCCAUGAAUACUGCCGCGGCUGGAGCACUGUAGAGGCAGGCGGAAUUCCGGGUGUAGCGGUGGAAUGCGUAGAGAGUCCGGAAGAACACCGGUGGCGAAGGCGGCCUGCUGGGCAGUUGCUGACACUGAGGCGCGACAGCGGUGGGGAGCAAACAGGG
rnacentral:rRNA from 1 species